rnacentral:rRNA from 1 species
AACGAACGCUGGCGGCAUGCCUAACACAUGCAAGUCGAACGGGAUCCUGGUUUCGGCCAGGUGAGAGUGGCGGACGGGUGAGUAACACGUGGGAAUCUGCCCUUUGGUCUGGGAUAACCGCGGGAAACUGCGGCUAAUACCGGAUGCCCUCGCGAGAGGAAAGAUUUAUCGCCAGAGGAGGAGCCCGCGUCCGAUUAGGUAGUUGGUGGGGUAAAGGCCUACCAAGCCGACGAUCGGUAGCUGGUCUGAGAGGAUGAUCAGCCACACUGGGACUGAGAUACGGCCCAGACUCCUACGGGAGGCAGCAGUGGGGAAUAUUGGACAAUGGGGGCAACCCUGAUCCAGCAAUGCCGCGUGAGUGAUGAAGGCCUUAGGGUUGUAAAGCUCUUUUGCCAGGGAAGAUGAUGACGGUACCUGGAGAAUAAGCCCCGGCUAACUUCGUGCCAGCAGCCGCGGUAAUACGAAGGGGGUCUAGCGUUGUUCGGAAUUACUGGGCGUAAAGGGCGCGUAGGCGGCCGUUUAAGUUAGAUGUGAAAGUCCUGGGCUCAACCUGGGGACUGCAUUUAAUACUGGGAUGGCUUGAAUUCGGGAGAGGAUAGCGGAAUUCCCAGUGUAGAGGUGAAAUUCGUAUGAUAUUGGGAAGAACAGCCGGUGGCGAAGGCGGCUAUCUGGACCGACAUUGACGCUGAGGCGCGAAAGCGUGGGGAGCAAACA